AGAUUGAACGCUGGCGGCAUGCCUUACACAUGCAAGUCGAACGGCAGCACGGGAGCAAUCCUGGUGGCGAGUGGCGAACGGGUGAGUAAUAUAUCGGAACGUGCCCAGUCGUGGGGGAUAACGCAGCGAAAGCUGUGCUAAUACCGCAUACGAUCUAUGGAUGAAAGCGGGGGAUCGCAAGACCUCGCGCGAUUGGAGCGGCCGAUAUCAGAUUAGCUAGUUGGUGGGGUAAAAGCCUACAAGGCGACGAUCUGUAGCUGGUCUGGGAGGACGACCAGCCACACUGGAACUGAGACACGGUCCAGACUCCUACGGGA
rnacentral:rRNA from 1 species